GACGAACGCUGGCGGCGUGCCUAAUACAUGCAAGUCGAGCGAAGCGGCGGAUGGGUGAGUAACGCGUGGGUAACCUGCCCUUAAGUCUGGGAUACCAUUUGGAAACAGAUGCUAAUACCGGAUACUAAAGGAUGGACCUGCGAUGCAUUAGCUAGUUGGUAAGGUAACGGCUUACCAAGGCGAUGAUGCAUAGCCGAGUUGAGAGACUGAGCAGCAACAUUGGGACUGAGACACGUCCCAAACGCCUACGGGAGGAAGCAGUAGGGAAUAUUGCACAAUGGACGAAAGUCUGAUGGAGCAACGCCGCGUGUGUGAAGAAGGUUUUCGGAUCGUAAAGCUCUGUUGUUGGUGAAGCGUUAAUCAACCAGAAAGUCACGGCUAACUACGUGCCAGCAGCCGCGGUAAUAC
rnacentral:rRNA from 1 species